rnacentral:rRNA from 1 species
UACGUAGGUGGCAAGCGUUGUCCGGAUUUACUGGGUGUAAAGGGCGUGCAGCCGGGAGUGCAAGUCAGAUGUGAAAUCCCGCGGCUCAACCGCGGAACUGCAUUUGAAACUGUGCUUCUUGAGUGCUGGAGAGGCAGACGGAAUUCCUAGUGUAGCGGUGAAAUGCGUAGAUAUUAGGAGGAACACCAGUGGCGAAGGCGGUCUGCUGGACAGUAACUGACGGUGAGGCGCGAAAGCGUAGGGAGCAAACAGG